GGAGACCGUCGGCGACGAGAGGCCAGAGGAGGGGGAGAAGAGGGAUCGGUUUGGGGCUUGAAAUGGAUGGGGAGGGUGGGUUUUAAAUGAGGUGGAGAGUCAGUUUCCAAUUAGAAACAGAGGAACGAGACAUGGGAGGAAUUCAGAGAGGGGGUGGAGUGAAAGAGGGCGAGGGUUUCGACUAAACGGAAGGCGGGGUAAGUGUGAAUUUUAGCGGCAUAUGAGACGAGUUCGUCGACGCUUAAAAGCGUCGUAAAAGUUUCAUCCUCCGACGCUCGCGAUAAGCAUCAGCAUAUGAGAGUGG
rnacentral:lncRNA from 1 species